rnacentral:rRNA from 1 species
GACGAACCGUCCAAACGUUAUUCGGAAUUACUGAGCUUAAAGGGUGCGUAGGCGGUGCGGAAAGUAGGGCGUGAAAUCCCUCGGCUUAACCGAGGAACUGCGUCCUAAACUACCGUGCUCGAGGGAGAUAGAGGUGAGCGGAACUUGGGGUGGAGCGGUGAAAUGCGGUGAUAUCCUAAGGAACACCGGUGGCGAAAGCGGCUCACUGGAUCUCUUCUGACGCUGAGGCACGAAAGCUAGGGGAGCGAACGGG